rnacentral:rRNA from 1 species
UACGUAGGGUGCAAGCGUUAAUCGGAAUUACUGGGCGUAAAGCGUGCGCAGGCGGUUAUGUAAGACAGUUGUGAAAUCCCCCGGGCUCAACCUGGGAAUUUGCAUCUGUGACUGCAUAGCUAGAGUACGGUAGAGGGGGAUGGAAUUCCGCGUGUAGCAGUGAAAUGCGUAGAUAUGCGGAGGAACACCGAUGGCGAAGGCAAUCCCCUGGACCUGUACUGACGCUCAUGCACGAAAGCGUGGGGACAAACGAGGAUAGAUACCUAGUA